rnacentral:rRNA from 1 species
AUGGGUUUCAUGAAUCACCAUAUCCAGAGAUUCGUCGACACAGCUUGUUGCCAGAAUUACCGAUGCAAGUCGAAGAAGGAUUGGCCGGUGCUGCCGGCUGGCGUCAAGUUCGAUCCCACGGAUCAGGAGCUGAUCGAGCACCUUGAGGCCAAAGUGAGUGCUGACAGCGCGAGAUUUCAGUCUCUCAUCGAUUUGUUCAUACCAACCGUCGACAGCGAACACAACAUAUGCUACACUCAACCUGAGAAACUUCCAGGUAUUACACUGAGUGACCUAAGGAAGCAAUUCUUCCAGCGCAAUUCCAGGGCGUUCAAAAGGGGCACGUGGACACGUCGCAAGAUACAGUUGGAGUGCGGCAUGCACACGAUGUGGCACAAGACCGGCAAUACCUUGCCGGUGAUGGUCAACGGCCGGCAGACGGGCAGCAAAAAAGGUUUUGGUGCUGCACACCAACAAGAACUUCGACCAGCAGAGGACCAACUGGGUGAUGCACUAGUACCACCUCGGGGACCUGGAGCAAGAGAAGGAGUGGGCACUGGUCGAGCAAGUUUCAACUGGGCUGCAGACUGCACAGGGUUGGUUUUGUUUUUAACAGGCCCAGCCCAUGACAACAAUGGGGCACAAAGAUCCAGCAGAUAG